rnacentral:rRNA from 1 species
GGGGGGGGGGGGGGGGGGGGGGGGGGGGGGGGGGGGGGGGGGGGGGGGGGGGGGGGGGGUGGUGGGGGGGGGGAGGGGUGAGUAGAGCGGGAGGAGGCGGCGGGUGGCGUCGGGGUAACUUCAGGGAACUGGGGCUAAGACCGGAUAGGAGUCCUGGCGGCAUGGGGGGGGUUGGAAAGCUUCGGCGGUUUUGGAUGGCCACGCGGCGUAUCAGCUUGUUGGUGGGGUAGUGGCUUACCAAGGCUUUGACGGGUAGCCGGCCUGAGAGGGCGACCGGCCACAGUGGGACUGAGAUACGGCCCAGACUCCUACGGGAGGCAGCAGUGGGGAAUAUUGCACAAGGGGCGGAAGCCUGAUGCAGCAACGCCGCGUGCGGGAUGACGGCCUUCGGGUUGUAAACCGCUUUCAGCAGGGGCGAAGCUUGUGGUGACGGUACCUGCAGAAGAAGCACCGGCUAACUACGUG